GCCUGUUUAUCAAAAACAUGGCUCUUUGUAAAAAAUAGAUAGAGAGUCGGACCUGCCCAGUGAUAAUUAUUUUAACGGCCGCGGUACCCUGACCGUGCAAAGGUAGCAUAAUCAUUUGCCUUGUAAUUUAAGGCUAGUAUGAAGGGUUUGACAAGAAUAUUACUGUCUCCUUUUAGUUUAGUAGAAUUUUACUUACAGGUGAAGAGGCCUGUAUUAGAUUAAUAGACAAGAAGACCCUAUCGAGCUUAAAAAAAAUUAGCAGGAGAAAUUAAUAAUUGACAAAACUAAAUCUGCUAAAAAUUUUGGUUGGGGCGACUGAGGGACAAAUAAAGCUCCCUUAUAAAAGACCUGACAUUCAAGUGAUGAGCCAGAAAAAUUCUGAUUAAAGGAAUUAGUUACCGUAGGGAUAACAGCAUUAUCUUUUUUAAGAGUUCUUAUCGAAAGAAAGGUUUGUGACCUCGAUGUUGGACCAGAAUAUCCUAAAGAUGCAGCAGUCUUUAAGGGUUGGUCUGUUCGACCAUUAAAAUUCUACGUGAUCUGAGUUCA
rnacentral:rRNA from 1 species